rnacentral:rRNA from 1 species
UACGGAGGGUGCAAGCGUUAUCCGGAUUCACUGGGUUUAAAGGGUGCGUAGGUGGGCAGGUAAGUCAGUGGUGAAAUCUCCGGGCUUAACCCGGAAACUGCCGUUGAUACUAUCUGUCUUGAAUAUAGUGGAGGUGAGCGGAAUAUGUCAUGUAGCGGUGAAAUGCUUAGAUAUGACAUAGAACGCCCAUUGCGAAGGCAGCUCGCUACACUAUCAUUGACACUGAGGCACGAAAGCGUGGGGAUCAAACAGG